CCUACGGGGGGCAGCAGUGGGGAAUAUUGCGCAAUGGGCGAAAGCCUGACGCAGCGACGCCGCGUGAGGGAUGAAGGUCUUCGGAUCGUAAACCUCUGUCAGCAGGGAAGAACGGUCACUGUGCUAAUCAGCAGUGAAUUGACGGUACCUGCAAAGGAAGCACCGGCUAACUCCGUGCCAGCAGCCGCGGUAAUACGGAGGGUGCGAGCGUUAAUCGGAAUUACUGGGCGUAAAGCGCUCGUAGGCGGUAUGGCAAGUCAAGGGUGAAAUCCCCGGGCUCAACGUGGGAACGGCCUUUGAAACUGGGAAACUGGAGUGUGUGAGAGGAUAGUGGAAUUCCAGGUGUAGGAGUGAAAUCCGUAGAUAUCGGGAGGAACAUCAGUGGCGAAGGCGACUAUCUGGAACAUAACUGACGCUGAGGAGCGAAAGCGUGGGUAGCAAACAGGAUUAGAUACCCUAGUAGUC
rnacentral:rRNA from 1 species